rnacentral:rRNA from 1 species
CGGGUGCACUGAUCCGGCCGGGCCUUUCCCUCUGUGGAACCCCAUGGCCUUCACUGGCUGUGCGGGGGAAACAGGACUUUUACUGUGAAAAAAUUAGAGUGCUCCAGGCAGGCCUAUGCUCGAAUACAUUAGCAUGGAAUAAUAGAAUAGGACGCGUGGUUCUAUUUUGUUGGUUUCUAGGACCGCCGUAAUGAUUAAUAGGGACAGUCGGGGGCAUCAGUAUUCAAUUGUCAGAGGUGAAAUUCUUGGAUCUAUUGAAGACUAACUACUGCGAAAGCAUUUGCCAAGGAUGUUUUCAUUGAUAAGGAACGAAAGUUAGGGGAUCGAAGACGAUCAGAUACCGUCGUAGUCUUAACUAUAAACUAUGCCGACUAGGGAUCGGACGAUGUUAUUUCUUGACGCGUUCGGCACCUUUCGAGAAAUCAAAGUGCUUGGGCUCCAGGGGGAGUAUGGUCGCAAGGCUGAAACUUAAAGGAAUUGACGGAAGGGCACCACCAGGAGUGGAGCCUGCGGCUUAAUUUGACUCAACACGGGGAAACUCACCAGGUCCAGACACAGUGAGGAUUGACAGAUUGAGAGCUCUUUCUUGAUUCUGUGGGUGGUGGUGCAUGGCCGUUCUUAGUUGGUGGAGUGAUUUGUCUGCUUAAUUGCGAUAACGAACGAGACCUUAACCUGCUAAAUAGCCCGUACUGCUCUGGCAGUUCGCCGGCUUCUUAGAGGGACUAUCGG